GCGAAAAAAGAACUGAAACAAUGUUGGACGUCAGGUUCAAUUAAACUGCUCGUUCACCUGACAACGUGUUAAAAAGCAUUGAACCUAGAACUAUAGGAUUUUAUUUAUACGGUCUAAUAAUAUAGUGUUAAAAUGAUUUUUUUAUAUAUGUAUAUAAUUUGUUGUAUACUUUAUGCAAUUUAUAUUCCAUACCGGCAUACGUGUUUUUAAAUAGAAUGUAAAUAUAUGUUGUUAGUUUUUUGCUUCCUUUGCACGAGCCGACGAGCGGUAUGAUGUAAAAGCGCUGUGUGGACAAAAACGUGAGGAUGUUUGAAAAUCACGACGUCCCCUUGAAUACAUUUCUCCCAUUUCCCCACGCGUCGAGACAUGGUGACGGGAAAAUCCGAUAUUUCUUGAUGAAGUGAGCUGACAUAAUAGACAGGACAAGGACGUGGAUGUCAAAGACGACGUGAAAAUGGGUGGCAUAUCCAUAUAUGGGCACAACACGCCAUUUUCACGUCGUCUUUGACAUCCGCGCUCUAAAUCUGUCUAAUCUGAUAAUGCAGACAGUUGAGUUGUGAGAGCAUUCAAAACUACUUUCGAAUAUACACGUUUGCUAUAUAGAUUAUUAUAUACAUAAGGCCACUCCAAAUU